rnacentral:tRNA from 1 species
UCUCAUCUAGCUUAAUGGCAAAGCAAUUCACUGUUAAUGAAUGGAUUAUAGGUUCAAAUCCUAUGAUGGGAG